rnacentral:lncRNA from 1 species
AAAAACAUUAAUAAUCAAUAAUCAAAUUCAACUCUGCAAGGCUAUGUGAAUUUGGAUCAGGGUGUGCAAUUAGGAAAGGCACGUUGGGCCCAUGCAGUAAAGGCCCAUGGUAGUUCUUUGCUUGCAUUCAAAAUGGUGGGGGUGAAUAAGCAAAGUGGAUGUACUGCUUAGAAAAACCUCCCUUCCUUCCUCUUCACAUCUUCACAUCCAAACCUCCCUUCCUCUCUCAUAACUCUCAUCCUUGUCAUAAUUUGCUCUACCGCGCCGGAGGCGGCAUAUCAAGGCUAAUUAGUACCAAAACGCCACCAAAAGACUCACCUAUUCGUCUUCUCUCUAUUUCUCACCAUCGUUUCCUAUUUCAUCCACGAAACCCAAACGAAAUCCAUUCUCACAGUAAACCCCAGAUCUAAGCAAAAUAUGAAUUAAAUUCCAUACAAGCUAUGGUUCAUGCAAUUACAUGAGGGUUGUGGUUCUACGCAACAAGCACAACACAAUGGCAAGGAGAAAGGUGCACACAGAAGAAGAAAAGGAUAACUUAUGAGCUUAUCUGCAGGAGUAGCUCUGAAGGCCCUUCGAAUUUGGUGUUGACUCACAAGAAAACCAGAGAUUGGCUUAGAAACCCAGGUAAAAUCUUCAUAAUUAUAAUCUUUUCCUUUUAGAGUAAUCUUCUUCUUCCUCUUCUUCCAAGUAGUCUAUAGGGAAUGGUUGAAAUUGUUGUGUUGUUAUUGCUGAUGAGUGUAGAGAGUGUAGAGAGAGAGAGAGUGUAGAGAGUGUAGAGUGUAGAGAGUGUAGAGAGUGUAUAGAGAGAGAGAGAGAGAGAGAGAGAGAGAGAGAGAUAUUAUGUUAAUUUUAGUAGGUUGGGAUUAAAGUGUAGUGAACAACUUUGUUAAUUGUAAAUUGGAAAUUUGAAAAUGGAUGUUAUGGCUUGUUUGCUAAUGAUAGUUUGUUUGUUUGUUGACAAUGGAUAUUCCUGCCGAGUCCUUAGAACAUGCAUUGUGUGUGUUCAUUGAAUUUUAUGACUUGGUUGACCAUGUAAUGGCUUGUUUGCUAAUGAUAGUUUGUUUGUUUGUUGACAAUGGAUAUUCCUGCCGAGUCCUUAGAACAUGCAUUGUGUGUGUUCAUUGAAUUUUAUGACUUGGUUGACCAUGUAUUAUGUUUAUAUUUGUGAAUAUCAUGGAAUAUUGGAUGUAUGUAUAUUGCUAUGAGUUUGUGUAGGUAUGUUAUGGAUAUACUUGGUAUGAAACAUAAUUGAAUGCAUGUUGACAAUUCCUAUUGCUGCAGGGUUGUUGUAUGCUUGGUUGGCCAUAACACAAUGGUGAUUUAGCAAGGGACUAUCAAGGUUGGAAAGGCAUGAUGACACCAUGGAUCAUGAAGGAGUUUUGGAUAAAUUGAAUACUUGUAGGACCAUAGAUGAAAGACCUUGAGGAUGAAAAGAAAAGUAGUUUGACUUUGGUCAACUGUUUGAUCAAAAAGUCAACAGUUGAUCAAAAGUAACUCUAGGUCCUAAAUGACUUUUUUGUAUAAUUUUGUUACUCUCCCUCUUGGAAUGCAAUUUUAUGAUUUUGUAAUGAAAAAUGCCCCUUUUGAAUGUAAUGUGUGCCUUGUAUUCCAAGCUAUAUACCUUUCCCUCCAAAAUUUGAAUUUGAAAUGAUCUUGAAUGCUUGAAUAAAAUUGAACUCUUGAAUGAA